rnacentral:rRNA from 1 species
CGGUGAAUACGUUCCCGGACCUUGUACACACCGCCCGUCAAGCCAUGGAAGCUGGGUGUACCUAAAGUCGGUAACCGCAAGGAGCCGCCUAGGGUAAAACUAGUAACUGAGGCU